UCCCCUAGUAACGGCGAGUGAAGAGGGAAAAGCUCAAAUUUUAAAUCUAUCUGGUUUUUCCCAGGUCGAGUUGUAAUUUGAAGAAGCGAUAUCGGUGUUGAGGUCUGGUUUAAGUUCUUUGGAACAAGACAUCAUGGAGGGUGAGAAUCCCGUGCAUGAUCAGACCAAGAUACUAAGUAUAUGCUUUCCAAGAGUCGAGUUGUUUGGGAAUGCAGCUCAAAAUGGGUGGUAGACUUCACCUAAGGCUAAAUAUCAGCGAGAGACCGAUAGCGAACAAGUACUGUGAAGGAAAGAUGAAAAGAACUUUGAAAAGAGAGUUAAAUAGUACGUGAAAUUGUUGAAAGGGAAACGAUUGAAGUCAGUCAUGCCAGUGAAAACUCAGUUUGUCGGUAAUCUAGUUCAGGAGUAGAGGCAGGGUCAAACCGUCUCUCUUUUGGACGGGAUUAUUGGCAGAUGGAAUUUUUUUCUGGCAGGUCAGCGUCGGUUUCGGGGGUUGUAAAAUACUUGGGGUAAAGUAGCUCUGCUUCGGGAGAGUGUUAUAGACCUUUGGGGAUGCAGCCCGCGGGAUCGAGGAUUGCAGCAAAUGCCUU
rnacentral:rRNA from 1 species